rnacentral:lncRNA from 1 species
UGAAACGUUUCAAGAAUAGAUUGUGUCUCCCAUGCCUCAUUAGGAAUAUAAAAUCAGCUUCUAUUGUGAGAAGGACAAUCUUUCAAAAGACUGCUCUUUUGCCAUAAAGAGGUUACAUAACCACCAUUUUCAAAUUUUGCCUUUCUUUUUUAGUAGCAAAGGGUAUUUUUAUUGCCCAAAUCCAAUUAAAAUCAUGCUAAAUCACCAUGUUGCAUUUUAAGUUAACAAUGAUUUAUCUCCCAUUUAGACACAUUGAAAGACUGAUCUCAGCCACUGUAACAGAAUUCAAGAACUCAGAUUCUUCCUGCCCAGUGGUUCUUGGACAGGGCUGAGAGGAAUUGAUGUCAGUCUGAUCCUGCCUUCUCGUUACCUUGCCUUCUUUUGCCAGAGAUCUCACGUCUUGCAGCAUGCUAGAACAUGAACUUUGGAGUCUGAGAUAGCCUAAUUUGAGCCCUGCUCUAACAUAUGAAAACCAUGUGACUUUGGGUGAGUGUCUUAACCUCUCUGGCUUUCUUCACCCUUAUGGUAAGGGAAAGUAAUACUUACCUCUCAAGUUUUAUAAGAAUUUGUGAUAAGAUGCAUGCAUUUCCAAGGGCGGCACCUAGCUCAUGGUGGCUGGUUGAUAAAUGUUACUUCCUUUAUAUCUCCCACUUUUCUCCCAAUCAUAUUCACCUCUGAAAUGACAGCCUGUGCUUCUCAUGAUACCCAUGGUUUUGGUGCGUCAGCUUUUGAUUUCUGGUUAAACAAGGCACUGGCUGAAUAGUUAGUUGUCUUUUAAUUCUCUUCCCACUAGAGUGCCCCUUUCAUCCUGCUCAGAAGGAAGGACUGUAAUGUUACCUCUUUUUAGGACUCAUUGUUUCUCCCUCUCCCAGAGUGACCAGCAUUUCCCUGAGUGGGUCAGCUACCAAGAAGAAAACUGUGACCAAACUCUGGGUGGACCUCGGAAAGCAGGUUUUGAGAUGCUGAGGACAUCAGCAUUAACUUAGGUCUGAUCACUGUGAUAAAGGAUCUCCAAGCUCUAACAACCCUAAUAUUCUGCAUAGUCUCUGCAAAAUCCAGUUGAUGAGAGCCUUUCCCUUUCUGUGAUGUAAUCAUCAUGGUAUGGCCUAAAAAAACAAAUGAAGCAUUUCUAAUAGAAUGUUCCCCUAUACUUGGGGCCAGGACCUUGCCAUGUUCCAUCAAGACGAUUGACGAGGCUCUAGUACAAUUAGACCUGCCACACAUGCAAAGCAAUGGCAGACCAGCAUUCUGAAUAUAAAUUGUUCAUUGAAAGCCAAGUGUAUCAGGGAAACUUGGAGGUUUUUUUUUUUUUUUUUUUUUUUUUUGAGACAGAGCCUCACUCUGUCGCCCAGGGUGGAGUGCAGUGGCGCAAUCUCGGCUCACUACAACCUCUAACACCAGGGUUCAAGCGAUUCUCCUGCCUCAGCCUCCCUAGUAGCUGGGAUUACAGGCACCUGCCACCACAUCUGGCUAAUUUUUGUAUUUUUAGUAGAGACAGGGUUUCACCAUGUUGGCCAGGCUGGGCUGGAACUCCUGACCUCAGGUGAUCCACCCUUCUCAGCUUCCCAAAGUGCUGGGAUUACAGGUGUGAGACACCAUGCCCGGCUGGAAACUUGGAGUUUUGUGAAGCAGUUCGGCAGAGACAUAUUUUAU